UGACGGAGAGGAAGCGCAGAGCGCUGAGGUCGGCGUCCUCGUUGAAGUCGGCGGCGAACGCCCCCAUGUAGGCACGGACCUGGGAAAAAUAAAGCAGCUAUGAGAGCCCCCGCUGUGGUGCAGCACAGGAAAGCAUCGCUCUGACAGCAGGGCUGGGAGAGGCGGUGAGCUGGAGUGAGCACUGCGUGCUGACAGUGAGUGCAUUCCUCAUGGGACUGGGACCUGCCUUCAGCCAUCAGCCCCUCUGGGAUGAAGAGCAGAGGAUCCAGAGAGCAGAGGAUCCAGUGCAGAGCAUGGCUUGUGAAGGAACACAGCGUGGAACACUGAUUUAUGGUGGCAGCCCUUCCUCCUGGUCCCCCAGCCUUGGAAUGCUCAGCUCUUGUAGAUGGACACGCGUCAGUGUUUGGCUUGGCUGCGGGAUGGUGGCAUCAGCCCAGCACUGCUGUCCCUUCUGAUGACAGGCACGUCACCAGGAGCAGCACAGCCCUCGGGUGGCCCAAGUGUCACCCUGUCACUGCUGAGAAGUUCCCCACCGGAUGGACAGAGCCAAACUCAGCACAAAUUUCUCACUUGGGAAGAAAGGAGGAAGAGAAACCUCGAUGUAACACAGCGCUUUCCAGAGUAGGCACCACCCUAAAGGACAUGGGGACACAGCACCAGAAGUGGGACAGCGAUGGGGACUGCCUCUAUCUGGGUUGGAGAGGUGAUUUUUUGGGAUCGUGUUGCCUCCCAUGCCAUGCCAUGCCAUGCCAUCCCAUCCCAUGCCAUGCCAUGCCAUCCCAUCCCAUCCCAUCCCACCCCAUCCCAUCC